UACGUAGGGUGCGAGCGUUGUCCGGAAUUAUUGGGCGUAAAGGGCUCGUAGGCGGUUUGUCGCGUCGGGAGUGAAAACCCAGGGCUUAACUCUGGGCUUGCUUUCGAUACGGGCAGACUAGAGGUAUGCAGGGGAGAACGGAAUUCCUGGUGUAGCGGUGAAAUGCGCAGAUAUCAGGAGGAACACCGGUGGUGAAGGCGCUUCUCUGGGCAUGACCUGACGCUGAGGAGCGAAAGUGUGGGGAGCGAACAGG
rnacentral:rRNA from 1 species